GAUGAAGAACGCAGUGAAAUGCGAUAAGUAAUGUGAAUUGCAGAAUUCAGUGAAUCAUCGAAUCUUUGAACGCACAUUGCGCCCAUUAGUAUUCUAGUGGGCAUGCCUGUUCGAGCGUCAUUUCAACCCUUAAGCCUAGCUUAGUAUUGGGAAUCGACUUUACUGUCGUUCCUCAAAUUCAACGGCGGAUUUAUAGCAAUCUCUGAACGUAGUAAUUUUUUUUCUCGUUUUUGAAAUACUAUUAACCUCAGCCGCUAAACCCCCAAUUUCUUAUGGUUGACCUCGGAUCAGGUAGGAAUACCCGCUGAACUUAAGCAUAUCAAUAAGCGGAGGA
rnacentral:misc_RNA from 1 species